rnacentral:rRNA from 1 species
GACGAACGCUGGCGGCACGCUUAACACAUGCAAGUCGAACGAGAGAAGAGAAGCUUGCUUUUCUGAUCUAGUGGCGGACGGGUGAGUAACACGUGAGCAAUCUGCCUUUCAGAGGGGGAUACCGAUUGGAAACGACCGUUAAUACCGCAUAACAUAAUUGAACCGCAUGAUUUGAUUAUCAAAGAUUUAUCGCUGAAAGAUGAGCUCGCGUCUGAUUAGCUAGUUGGUAAGGUAACGGCUUACCAAGGCGACGAUCAGUAGCCGGACUGAGAGGUUGAUCGGCCACAUUGGGACUGAGACACGGCCCAGACUCCUACGGGAGGCAGCAGUGGGGAAUAUUGCACAAUGGAGGAAACUCUGAUGCAGCGAUGCCGCGUGAGGGAAGAAGGUUUUAGGAUUGUAAACCUCUGUCUUCAGGGACGAAAAAUGACGGUACCUGAGGAGGAAGCUCCGGCUAACUACGUGCCAGCAGCCGCGGUAAUACGUNAGGAGCGAGCGUUGUCCGGGAAUACUGGGUGUAAGGGAGCGUAGGCGGGAUCGCAAGUCAGAUGUGAAAACUAUGGGCUUAACCCAUAAACUGCAUUUGAAACUGUGGUUCUUGAGUGAAGUAGAGGUAAGCGGAAUUCCUAGUGUAGCGGUGAAAUGCGUAGAUAUUAGGAGGAACAUCAGUGGCGAAGGCGGCUUACUGGGCUUUAACUGACGCUGAGGCUCGAAAGCGUGGGGAGCAAACAGGAUUAGAUACCCUGGUAGUCCACGCCGUAAACGAUGAUUACUAGGUGUGGGGGGACUGACCCCUUCCGUGCCGCAGCAAACGCAAUAAGUAAUCCACCUGGGGAGUACGACCGCAAGGUUGAAACUCAAAGGAAUUGACGGGGGCCCGCACAAGCAGUGGAGUAUGUGGAUUAAUUCGAAGCAACGCGAAGAACCUUACCAGGUCUUGACAUCGUAUGCAUAGCUCAGAGAUGAGUGAAAUCUCUUCGGAGACAUAUAGACAGGUGGUGCAUGGUUGUCGUCAGCUCGUGUCGUGAGAUGUUGGGUUAAGUCCCGCAACGAGCGCAACCCUUACUGUUAGUUGCUACGCAAGAGCACUCUAGCAGGACUGCCGUUGACAAAACGGAGGAAGGUGGGGAUGACGUCAAAUCAUCAUGCCCCUUAUGACCUGGGCCUCACACGUACUACAAUGGCUGUCAACAGAGGGAAGCAAAGCCGCGAGGUGGAGCGAAUCCCUAAAAGCAGUCUUAGUUCGGAUUGUAGGCUGCAACCCGCCUACAUGAAGUCGGAAUUGCUAGUAAUCGCAGAUCAGCAUGCUGCGGUGAAUACGUUCCCGGGCCU